rnacentral:rRNA from 1 species
AUUGAACGCUAGCGGGAUGCCUUACCCAUGCAAGUCGAACGGAGUGGCGAACGGGUGAGCAAUGUAUCGGAACGUGCCCAGUAGCGGGGGAUAACUACGCGAACGCGUAGCUAAUACCGCAUACUAUUGGAGCGGCCGAUCUCGGAUUAGCUAGUUGGUGGGGUAACGGCCCUCCAGGGCGACUAUCCGUAGCAGGUUUGAGAGGACGACCAGCCACACUGGGUAUGAGACACGGCCCAGACUCCUGCGGUAGGCAUCAGUGGUGAAGUUUGGACAAUGGGGGAAACCCUGAUCCAGCCCUCCCGCGUGGGCGAUGACGGCCUGCGGGGUGUAACGCACUUUUGGCAGGAAAGCGGUACCUGCAGAAUAAGCACCGGCUAACUACGUGCCAGCAGCCGCGGUAAUAC